rnacentral:rRNA from 1 species
CAGCCGCCGCGGUAAUACGAAGGGGGCUAGCGUUGUUCGGAAUCACUGGGCGUAAAGCGCACGUAGGCGGAUCUUUAAGUCAGGGGUGAAAUCCCGAGGCUCAACCUCGGAACUGCCUUUGAUACUGGGGAUCUGGAGUCCGGGAGAGGUGAGUGGAACUGCGAGUGUAGAGGUGAAAUUCGUAGAUAUUCGCAAGAACACCAGUGGCGAAGGCGGCUCACUGGCCCGGUACUGACGCUGAGGUGCGAAAGCGUGGGGAGCAAACAGGAUUAGAUACCCCCGUAGUCCCUGUCUCUUAUAC